AACGAACGCUGGCGGCAUGCCUAACACAUGCAAGUCGAACGAGACCUUCGGGUCUAGUGGCGCACGGGUGCGUAACGCGUGGGAAUCUGCCCUUGGGUUCGGAAUAACAGUUGGAAACGACUGCUAAUACCGGAUGAUGACGUAAGUCCAAAGAUUUAUCGCCCAAGGAUGAGCCCGCGUAGGAUUAGCUAGUUGGUGAGGUAAAGGCUCACCAAGGCGACGAUCCUUAGCUGGUCUGAGAGGAUGAUCAGCCACACUGGGACUGAGACACGGCCCAGACUCCUACGUGAGGCAGCAGUGGGGAAUAUUGGACAAUGGGCGAAAGCCUGAUCCAGCAAUGCCGCGUGAGUGAUGAAGGCCUUAGGGUUGUAAAGCUCUUUUACCCGGGAUGAUAAUGACAGUACCGGGAGAAUAAGCUCCGGCUAACUCCGUG
rnacentral:rRNA from 1 species